GACGAACGCUGGCGGCGUGCCUAACACAUGCAAGUCGAGCGGGGUCCAUCCGGUAGCAAUACCGGGGAAGACCUAGCGGCGAACGGGUGAGUAACACGUGAGAAACCUGCCCCGAAGUCUGGGAUAACCCGAGGAAACUCGAGCUAAUACCGGAUGUCUUCUUCUGAUCGCAUGGUCGGAUGAAGAAAAGAUUUAUCGCUUCGGGAGGGUCUCGCGGCCUAUCAGCUAGUUGGCGGGGUAACGGCCCACCAAGGCGUCGACGGGUAGCUGGUCUGAGAGGACGAUCAGCCACACUGGGACUGAGACACGGCCCAGACUCCUACGGGAGGCAGCAGUGGGGAAUAUUGCGCAAUGGGCGAAAGCCUGACGCAGCAACGCCGCCGUGCGGGA
rnacentral:rRNA from 1 species